AUUCCACUGUGGUCUGAGAAGAUAUUUUACAUUAUUAUACUUUAAAUUUUUGAAUGUUUUAAGGAAAUGUUAUGUAAAUAUUUGUUAGGUCCAUUUGUUAUAUCAUGCAGAUUAAGUCCAGUAUUUCUUUGUGGAAUUUCUGUUUGAAUGAUUCGUUCAGUGCUGAAGGUAGAGUGUUGAGAUGUCCCCAGCUAUUAUCCUAUUGGAGUCCAUCUCUCUUUAGCACUAAUAAUAUUUGCUUUAGAUACCUGAUUGCUCCAGUGUUGAGUGCUAUGUAUUUAAAAUUAUAUCCUCUUGUUAAAUUGACCUUUUUAUCAUUAUAUAAUGAGCUUUUUUGUCUCUUUUUGUAGUUUUUGUCUUCAAAUCUAUUUUGGCUGAUAGAAGUAUAUCUAUUCCUGCUCUUUUCUGGUUUCCAUUUUCAUGGGAUAUCUUUUUGAAUCCUCCUAUUUUCAGCCUAUGUAUUUCUUUAUAAGUGAAGUAUGUUUCUAGUAGACAACAGAUUGUUGGGUGUUGUUUUUAUCCAUUCAGCCCUGUAUGUCUUUGGAUUGGAGAUAUUAGUCCUUUUACAUUCAAUGUUACUAUUGUCAAGUAAGGUCUCACUCCUGACAUUUUGUUUUCUGGUUCCUUUGUGGUCUUCUCUUCCUUCUUUCCUUCCUUCUUGUCUUCCUUUUAGCGAAGGUGGUUUUCUCUAGUGGUAUGUUUUAAUUUCUUGCUUUUUGUUUUUUUUGUGUGUGUGUCCAUUGUAUGUUUUGAUUUGAGAUUACCAUAAGGCUUGGAAAUAAUAUCUUAUUACCCAUUAUUUUGAACUUAUGACAACUUAACACUGAUUACAUAAACAAGCAAGCAAAAAGAAAACUAAUAAAAACUCUACCCUUUAAUUCAGUCUCCCUGCUUUUUAACUUUUUCAUUUCUAUUUAUAUCUUGUUGUAAUAUCUAUGUCUUGAAAAAUUGUAGUUAUUAUUUUGAUUGGAUCAUCUUUUACUCUUUCUACAUAUUAGUAGUUUACACACCAUAAUUACAGUGCUAUAAUAUUCUGUGUUUUCUCUGUGCUUACUAUUACCUGUUAGUUUUGUACCUUCAAAUGAUUUCCUAUUGCUCAUUAGCAUACUUUUCUUUCAGACUGAAGAACUCCAUUUAGCAUUUCCUAUAAAACAGGUCUGGUGUUGAUAAAAUCCCUCAGCUUUUGUUUGCCUGUGAAGGUCUUUAUUUCUUCUUCAUGUUUGAAGGAUAUUUAUGCUAGAUGUACUAUGCUAAGGUAGAAUUUUUUUUUCCUUCAGCACUUUAAAUGUGUCGUGCCGCUGUCUCCUGGCCUGGAAGGUUUCCACUGAAAAGUUUGCUACCAGACAUAUGGGAACUCCAUUGUAUGUUAUUCGUUUGUUUUCUCUUGCUGCUUUUAGGAUCCUUUCCUUAUUCUUGACCUUCGGGAGUUUGAUUAUUAAAUGCUUUGAGGUAGUCUUCUUUGGGUUAAUUCUGUGAGUGUUCUGUAGCCUUCUUGUACUUGGAUAUUGACAUCUUUCUCUAAGUUUGGGUUUGGGAAGUUCUAUGUUGUUAUCCCUUUGAAUAAACUUUUUUUUUUCUUUUGCAUAAAAUGCAGAUCCUGCACAACCUUUGAAUAAACUUUCUAUGCCUAUUUCUCUCUCUACCUAUUCUCUAAGGGUAAUAACUCUUAGAUUUGCUCUUUUGAGGCUGUUUUCUAGAUCUUGUAUGUGUGCUUCAUUGUUUUUUAUUCUUUUUUCUUUUGUCUCCUCUGACUGUAUUUUCAAAUAGCCUGUCUUCAGGCUCACUAAUUCUGCUUGAUCAGUUCUGAUGUUAAGUGGCUCUGCUGUCUUCAGCAUGUCAGUUGCAUUUUUCAGCUCCAGAAUUUCUGCUUCGUUUCUUUUACUUAUUUCAGUCUCUUUGUUAUAUUUAUCUGAUAGGAUUUUGAAUUCCUUCUCUAUGUCUUCUCUGUAUUAUCUUGAAUUUCUUUGAGAUUUCUCAAAACACCUGUUUUGAAUUCUUUUUGAAAGGUCGCAAUAUCUCUGUCUUUGUGGGACAGGGAUUUUUCACUGGUGCCUCAUUUAGUUCAUUUGAUGAGGUCAUGUUUUCCUGGAUGGUCUUGAUGCUUGUGGAUGUUCGUCAGUGUCUGGACAUUGAAGAGUUAGGUAUUUAUUGUAGUCUUUGCAGUCUGGGCUUGUUUGUACUCACCCUUCUUGGGAAGACUUUUCAGUUAUUCAAAAGGACUUGAGAAUUGUGAUCUAAUUUUUUUUCCCACCACAGCUGUAUCUGGAUUACAGGGCAUUCCAAGCCCAGUAACACUAUGGCUCUUGCAGACUCAAAGAGGUACUGCCUUGCUGGUCUUGGGUAAGAUCUGGUAGAAUUCUCUGGAUUGACAGGCAGAGCCUCUUGUUCUUUUCCCUUACUUUCUCCUAAACAAAUGGAGUCUUUCUCUCUCUGCUGAGCUGCCUGGAGCUGCAGGAGGUGUUGCACAAGCACCCCUGUGGCUACUACCACUGUUACUGCACUGGGUGAGACCUAAAUCCAGCACAGCACUGGGUCUCAUCCAUGGCCCACAAUAAUCACUGCCUGGCUACCACUUGGGUUCACUCAAGGUCCUAGGCCUCUACAAUAAACAGGUGGCAAAACCAGCUAGGCUAUAUCCUUCCCUUCAGGGUAGUAAGAUCCCCCUGGUCCUGAGGGCAUUCAGAGAUGCCACGUAGGAGCCCGAGCCUGGAGUUGGAACCCUUAGGAAUCUACCUGGUAUUCUAUUCUACUGUGGCUGAACUGGCACCCAAGCCACAAGACGAAGUUCUUCCCAUUCUCCGCUUCCCUUUCCACAAGCAUAGGAGUCUCUCCCAUGGCCACCACCACCCCAGGCAUGCAGCAAGUACUGUCUGGCUACUGCUGUUGUUCAUUCAAGGCCCAAGGGCUCUUCCGUCAAUUUGGUAAAUGCUGCCAGGUCUGGGACUAUUUCAUCAGGGCACUGGACUUUUCUCUGGCCCAAGGCAGGUCCAGAAAUGCCAUCUAAGAGACAAGACCUGGAAUCUGAGACCCCCAAGAGCCCACAUGAUGCUCUACCCCACUGUGGCUGAGCUGGUACCUAAGCUGCAAGACAGAGACCCCUUUAUUCUUCCUUCUGCUUUUCUCAAGCAAUAGUCUGUCCUUGUAGCCACCACACCUGGGAAUAUGCUUGGUCACACUUGAAGCUAGUAUAGUACUGGGUCUCACCCAAGGCCUACAGCAAGUAAUACCUGGUUACCACUACAGGUUUUUCAGGGCCCAAGGGUUCUUUAGUCAGCAGGUGAUGAAUCUUGCCAAGACUGGGUCUUUCCCCUCAAGGCAGCAGGUUCCCUUCUGGCCCACGGUAUAUCUAGAAAUGUCAUCCUGGAGCUAGAGCUUGGAAUGGGGGCCUCAAGACUCUGUGUGAUGCCUGUCCUAUUGUGGCUGAGCUUGUGUCCAAGAUGCAAGACAAUGUCCUCUUUAUUUUUCCCUAUCCUUUCCUCAAGCAGAAGGAAGGUGUCUCUUUGGAACUCUGCUGCCUGGGGUUAUGAGGAGGGGUGAUGCAGGCACUUUAAUUGGCUGCCCUGGCUGGUGUCUCACUAGGUGACGUGCCCCCCAUGUCCACUGACUGCAAACCCAGCACAGCACCAGGACUUGCCCAGGAAUGGCAGUCCUUAUGUCCUAGACCACCUUUCAACUUUAUUUAGGACCCCAGAGCACUUUAGCCUGUGGUAUGAGGUCUGCCAGAAUGCAUUCUGAGCACUGGGGUGGGCUGAGCCCUCUGGCUAGGGCAGGUCCAGAUGACCCUUUCAUGGGUUCUGCCUGAGUUCUGCCUGGUGGUGUUUUCCAUUGUUACAGGGGAGCACUGUGUUCCCAUGCCAGUUUCCACAAUUACUGCACUCUUCCUGCUCCAAGUACAUGGGUUCUCUCUUGGCACCAUAGGGCCACUGCUAGGGAAUGAGGAAGGGGUUGUGUUGGCAAUGGAAGACUGUUUUUCCUACCCUCUUCAAGGCCUCUUUCAGUGAUACGAAGUUCAAAACAUAUACUGUGAUCACUCACAUGAUUUUUGUUUCUCAUGACCGUACUUUUUUGUAGGGGUAGUUGUUCAAUUUGGUGUUCCUGCAGGAAGAUUGGUGGAGGCUUCUAUCUGGCCAUCUUGCUUUGCCUUCUCCCCAAUCCAGAUAAUUUAAAUAAUAUCUGACACAGAGUGUUUAUAAGACCUUUGUAUAAAUUGUUCCGUUAUGUCUUUGUUUUCAUUUUGAGUGUUCUUGCAGUAUUUUCAGGUUAAAUAAUAAAGCGAGCAUAUCAAAUUUUAGCCUUAAUCUUAGCUUUGCAUUUCACCUUGUGAAUUUGUUGUCGUGGUUUGCACUUCAUAAUGACAUGAUUAAAACAGGCCACAAUGACUACAUAGAGGAUUAUUCUUACAGCAGAUGGGUUAUAUCAGUAUUUUCAUAUUUUUAUUUUGAAGUUGUAGGUAAGGUCUUAUUUAAAUAUAAAACCCAGAGUUGGUGAGAUUGUAGAGAAACAGCUCAGAUCCUGUUGGUGAGAGUGCAAAUUGGUAUAUAAGCUAAAACUCCCAAUACCUACAUGAUAGGAACUGAGUCCUCCUUUCAGUGCCCACAGUAGUUUAUUUACAGUAGGGCUUAUCUCACAUACUCAACUGAGGCAGUUCAUGGUACCUUCUCAGUCUCCAGUGUCACCUGUUGUAAAAUCCUUACUGAACAACUCUUCUUACUGAUAUAUAAUGUAAGAGCAUUUUAUACGUUAAAUUAUAGCAUAGUAGCUAAGAGGAUCCUCUGUGUUGGAAUCUUUACUGUACUAGCCAUGUGAUCUUGGUUAAGUUACUUAGCACCUCUGCGCAUCAGUUCGUCAUCUGUAAAAUGAGGAUAAUAGAAUUUAUCUCAUUGGUUGUAAAGAUUAAAUAAGAAAACAUUUAUAAGACAUCAUAGUACCUGGCUCAUGUUAAUCACUAAAUAAAGGUUAAUUUUUACAAUUAUCAAUAUUAUAAAAUAUUUGUACAUUUUCUAAAAGCAAAAUUCUGGAAAGUAUGUGCUGAGCACUAAACUGUGUCUACCUCAAAAUUCUUAUGUUGACGCCCUAGUCCCCAGUGUCGACUGUAUUGCAGAUGGGGCCUAUAAGGUGAUAAUUAGGUUAAACGAGGCUUUAAGGGUGGGGUCCUAAUCUGAUAGGGUUGGUGCCAUAUAGGAAAAUGAAGAAACACCAGCGCUCACUCUCUCUGGCUCUCCAAGAAAUGGACAAACUGGGAACAGAGCACGCACCAGGAACCAAAUUGGCUGGCAAUCAACCAAUCCUUGAUCUUGGAUUUCCCAGCUUCCAGAACCGAUGUUUCUUGGGAAUACAGGCCAAGCAAACAAGGGACUUGUUGAAGGAAAUGGAGUGGAUUGGGUCUGUGAAACAGUGGAACAAAUUCAGAAAUGCAAUGAAUGCAACUUCCAGGAGAGUUAUGCAACAGGAAGCCUGCCUAUACAGAUUGAAAGACUUCAGCACUGUAAGAACUGCCUGUAGAAAAAAAAGGAAUUCCUGGAUUUGCUAGUAUUCUGGAAAUGUUGGAAGAACCUAGUCUAAUGAUGCCAUAAAGGAAGACAAUUCAAGACAAAGUAAAAAGGCAAUUUAUAAUUUAGUUGAGUGGGGUAUAUGACAAGAAGCUAUACCAAAAAAACAAGUAGAGAUAUAGAAGGUAACUUUCCCGGACAGUGAAUACUGUUUACACAGAUGUGGCAUAAAUAUCCUUUA